rnacentral:rRNA from 1 species
UACGUAGGGGGCUAGCGUUGUCCGGAAUCAUUGGGCGUAAAGAGCGUGUAGGCGGCCCGGUAAGUCCGCUGUGAAAGUCGGGGGCUCAACCCUCGAAUGCCGGUGGAUACUGUCGGGCUAGAGUGCGGAAGAGGCGAGUGGAAUUCCUGGUGUAGCGGUGAAAUGCGCAGAUAUCAGGAGGAACACCGAUUGCGAAGGCAUCUCGCUGGGACGUAACUGACGCUGAGACGCGAAAGCGUGGGGAGCAAACAGG